rnacentral:piRNA from 1 species
UAUAAAGUGCCAUCUUCGUGUUUCUAGGGAGU